UCAAAAGUACUUUACAUAUGACUUAUCUUUUUUUAUAUUUGCACUAAUUUUUCAAAUAAAACGAAUGGUCAAACGUUGCAAAUAAAAAGUCAAAAACGUCACCUUUAUGGGACGGAGGGAGUACUUGCAUGCCAAAACCCUAAGCUAUCUUCCUGCACAUAUCCAUCUAUCACCUGCAGGGGCAGCCCUGGGAAAAGGAUGGGUCACAAAGCCUAGUUUGACUGAGCCAAAUUAAGCUAUUACUCCUGCUUUAUUGCUAGGAACAUGGAAAGGCAAAAGGAAAAUGGAGAGUGGUGGUGGAGGAACUAGCUAAGUUUGUAUACUCCUAUAUGUAAUCUUUACACAAGUUACAAGUGCAUUUGAACUUGAAGUACUUGAUCCUAGCUACUGCAUCUGCAUGCUGACUAGUGACUAUAGCUACUGCAUCAGUAUUCAGUAUAGUGUGUACAUGGUGCUACACACAGCUGGGACCAAAGAGGAAGGAGUGAAAAAAAAAACUUUGUUUUGUUUCUUUCAAUGCUGGUUGAAAAGUUGGGGGGGAAUGUUUGUUUUCUUGCACAUUGAUAUGAUAUUAAUGGAAGCAGCAGCCUUGCAUCACACCCAUGCAGCAGGCCAAUGGCAGAGGAAAGGGCAAUAGAAAAUGAUGUUGCAUCAAAAGUGGAUCCCUAGCUACCAGUGGCUCUGCAUGGCUGCACCCACCACUCACCACCAAGUGAAGAAUAACCGAGUGUAUGCCCGUGCGAUCGAGUUGGUCUCUUGUUCUUUCUAUGAUUCUAUCUCUGCUCCUUCCUGUCAAAUCGUCGCCGUACGUAUUCGUGCAUGUACACCCACGGUGACUUCAAUUUUGGACCUAUUCUGAUGUUCAAAGCUAGCUUGAGCUAUAUCUAGCCAGAUGCAGGCUUUGUUGUAUUGAAAAUUUGCAAUCGAUUUAUAAAGAAAUGUAUCACUAGCUUAACUUACCUCCCACUUGUAAUCAAUAGUAAUAACUUUGUAAUUGAUUAGUUACCUUUUGUUAUGGUAUAUAUGUAUAUUAAUUAUCAUCA